AUUGAACGCUGGCGGCAGGCCUAACACAUGUAAGUCGAGCGGAUGAAGGGAGCUUGCUCCUGGAUUCAGCGGCGGACGGGUGAGUAAUGCCUAGGAAUCUGCCUGGUAGUGGGGGAUAACGUCCGGAAACGGGCGCUAAUACCGCAUACGUCCUGAGGGAGAAAGUGGGGGAUCUUCGGACCUCACGCUAUCAGAUGAGCCUAGGUCGGAUUAGCUAGUUGGUGGGGUAAAGGCCUACCAAGGCGACGAUCCGUAACUGGUCUGAGAGGAUGAUCAGUCACACUGGAACUGAGACACGGUCCAGACUCCUACGGGAGGCAGCAGUGGGGAAUGUUGGACAAUGGUCGAAAGCCUGAUCCAGCCAUGCCGCGUGUGUGAAGAAGGUCUUCGGAUUGUAAAGCACUUUAAGUUGGGAGGAAGGGCAGUAAGUUAAUACCUUGCUGUUUUGACGUUACCAACAGAAUAAGCACCGGCUAACUUCGUG
rnacentral:rRNA from 1 species